GAUGAACGCUAGCGGGAGGCCUAACACAUGCAAGCCGAGCGGUAGAUUACUUUCGGGUAAUUGAGAGCGGCGUACGGGUGCGGAACACGUGUGCAACCUGCCUUUAUCAGGGGGAUAGCCUUUCGAAAGGAAGAUUAAUACCCCAUAAUAUAUUAUUCGGCAUCGGGUGAUAUUGAAAACUACGGUGGAUAGAGAUGGGCACGCGCAAGAUUAGCUAGUUGGUGAGGUAACGGCUCACCAAGGCGACGAUCUUUAGGGGGCCUGAGAGGGUGAUCCCCCACACUGGUACUGAGACACGGACCAGACUCCUACGGGAGGCAGCAGUGAGGAAUAUUGGACAAUGGGUGGAAGCCUGAUCCAGCCAUCCCGCGUGCAGGAAGACGGCCCUAUGGGUUGUAAACUGCUUUUAUCUGGGGAUAAACCUACUUACGUGUAAGU
rnacentral:rRNA from 1 species